rnacentral:lncRNA from 1 species
ACUUAUCUCAUCAGGGUUUAUAGUUUUAGAUGAUUAGAAAUAGCUCCAGUGUCCAUAGGGGUCAACAGAAUAGCUAUGGUACAUCCGUCUAACAGAAUACUGUCCAGCAUCUGAUGAAGCUCUCUGAGGACAGAGCAAGCCCUUCAAGAGACAGCAGAGCACGGAAAUUAAGAACUGGGACUCAGGAGACCAGACCUGGCAGCUGCUGCACUGACACAGACCCCCUGAGACUGCAGCUGGCACAGGGACAGCAACAAUGACACUGAAGAUGUUUCAUUGUUUGACCCAGAAAAAGAGACAAUAGACCAAGAAAAUCCAAAAUCAGGCAUCCACUGGCAUCAUUUUUCCAUUUGUUCUAUCCAUUUCCAUUUGUUCUAUGGGUGCCAUUAUAGCCUAAGUUCUCUAUGAAUUGCUCAGCAGCGGCUUCAUUGCCUGUCUGAUGAGAAUUAUCUUGUUGCUGCUAUGUGAAUUUGGGGUAGUGAAGAAUGUCGCAGCUAGACUAAUGGUUGGCCUCCUGUGGUGGAAUCACAUGGAUGAGGAUGGAAAGAGUCAUUGAGUGUGUGAGUUCAGGAAGGCAACUCCUCUGGAGUAUAAAACUGUCUCAGAGGCUGAAUCAAGAGUGUCUUGUUUGGAACUGAUUGCCGGUCCAUCGCUGUGGUUGAUAUUUGCCCUUAGUGCUCUCUUCAGUGGUUGGCUGUGGUUAUGGUGGGUGUGGUGCUACAAAGUGCCAUUUUGUAACUGUAUGGUUACAAAAUGGUCAGCAGGAAGAACUUAACCAGCAUAGCUAUGUUGUACUCGAAAAGUGUCAUUGGAGAUGAUCAGAUUUCUUAAAUAGAGAGCAAGCUUAUGCAUUUUGUGACAUUGGGGAACAACCAAAGAGAUUCUUACUUACUUUAGAACUGUUUGGAAUCAGUCCAUUGCAAAGAGGAAUAUCAGUUUUAUUUUUUUCACUUAAAAACUUUGUUCAAGGGGCUGGGGCUAUAGCUCAGUGGUAGAGUGCCUGCCUCACAUGUGAGGCACUGGGUUCGAUCCUCAGCACCACAUAAAAAUAAAUAAAUAAAAAUAUUGUGUCC